CCGGCCCAGGGCAGUGAGCGGCUCACCACCCCGGUCAGCAGCUACAGAGGAUGCGCCGGGUCCCCCAGCAGUGCCGGCCCACUGGCGCUGCGCUGGAGUUCUCGCCGAGCCUCAGCUGCCUCCCCGCGGGGCAGGGCUCGGGACCUGCAGCCCACCGUCCCCGAACCCCCCCACCCCUCCCUGCGGUGGGCUCCUGCGCGGCCCGAGCCUCCUCGAUGAGCGCCGCCCCCUGCUCCACGGCGCUAGGUCCGGUCAACCAUCCAGGACCUGAGAAACGCAAGUGCACGGCGCGGGAUUAAGCCGGCAGCUCUGGCCCCGACCACUCUGCGGUAUGCACUAAAUGAGGCCAGCUAGGUUCCUGAGUCUGGUGGUCCAUAUAACAUCCCACCCAUCUAGAUUGGGGCUGCCUCGGUGUGAGAACCUGGCUCCACUGAGGAACAAAGUGAAUGGAGAAAAAUAAAGUUGAUUUCCAUGGGGCACAUCUGUCCCUUACCAAGAAGACCAGGCCAAGGAACACCAGGAGGAGAAUCACAGCCACCAGGACCACAACAACUAUGGCCCAUGCAGGGAAUGAAUCAUUCUCCCCAAUCUGUCCAGCGUGGAUACCUUUCUGUGAGUCAUCUUUAUUGA